rnacentral:rRNA from 1 species
UACGUAGGGUGCAAGCGUUGUCCGGAAUUUAUUGGGCGUAAAGAGCUGCGUAGGCGGUCUGUCACUGUGGCUGUGAAAUCCCGAAGGCUCAACCUCGGGUCUGCAGUCGAUACGGGCAAACUAGAGUACUGCAGGGGAGACUGGAAUUCCUGGUGUAGCGGUGAAAUGCGUAGAUAUCGGGAGGAACACCGAUGGCGAAGGCAGGUCUCUGGGCAUUAACUGACGCUGAGGAGCGAAAAGCAUGGGGGAGCGAACAGG